rnacentral:snoRNA from 1 species
GGUUAAACAUGAUUAUAAAACUAUUUUAUAUUUGUCUGAGGAAGUAUAUGCAGGACAUAUUGUGAAUUAGGAAUUCUUCGUUUAUGAUCUAGCC